rnacentral:rRNA from 1 species
UACAGAGGUCCCAAGCGUUGUUCGGAUUCAUUGGGCGUAAAGGGUGCGUAGGUGGCGCUGUAAGUCGGGUGUGAAAUUCGUGGCUUAACUCCGAAACUGCAUUCGAUACUGCGGUGCUUGAGGACUGGAGAGGAGACUGGAAUUCAUGGUGUAGCAGUGAAAUGCGUAGAGAUCAUGAGGAAGACUAGUGGCGAAGGCGGGUCUCUGGACAGUUCCUGACACUGAGGCACGAAGGCCAGGGGAGCGAACGGG